rnacentral:tRNA from 1 species
GGCUGUAGCUCAUUGGCAGAGCGCUUGCCUAGCAUGUGUGAGGUACUGGGUUCGAUCCUCAGCACCA